GCUGGCUGGGCCCUUCGGGAAUGUGUCUGGGAACACAAGUACCAGCACUGUGUGUAGCAAUAAUUAUGGGGACGUGUCCCAGAUCCUAAUUUUGAAGCUGUUUAGUCUUGCAUUUCAGGACCACAUGUAUUCCUAAAAGCUGCAGUCAGGACUACUCCUAAAAUGAAGUAUUUGCAAAGUAACAAUGACUCCGAUUUCAAAUGUUAUAUAAAACCUAGUCUAGAAGAUACUCCUUUAUCAUUCUAUUUUGUAAAAAGAUUUUAUAACGGUAAGGUUUUCUUGUUAUUCCGGCAAUAUGGCAUUACUAGUAUAUGUACUAGAUUGGUCUGAAAAUUGCAAGCUAGUUAUUACUUAGUUAGUAUUUUGUUUGUUCAUAUAUGCAUGCCCCUGAGGUGAAAUCUUGCCUGGCCAAUCUUCUCGGACUCCUACCUUGUUGUGUUGGGUAAAUGUUUGACCUAGAAAACAGAGGUCCUGGGUUCAUAUCCUUUGACAUGUCACAAAAGCUGUGCUGGUAAUACUGAGGACUUUCCCCACUCCAUCCAAUUGUACAAGGGGGUUGGAGAGAUUAUUGGCAGUGGAAGGAGAGGAUUGGGCUCUGUCCUGGACACAAAAAUUGUACAGUGGAUAACAAUCCACAGCCUCUAAAAGGCUAUGUGACUACCGACAGGGUCCUCCCCAGAGGAUGGAACAAGGGCGGCCCUCCAUUAUGUUCCUGGCCCAGCACCACUAUAACAUUAUUACUUUUAAAAUUUAGUGUGUUUCUUCCUAUUUUCCUGGUUAGGUUUGCUACAAUUGAUGACAAUUCACAGAUUUUUGUGCCAAGCGGUGUCACUUUUCCAAUCAGCAUUGGUUGCAAAAACUUGUGAAUGGGCGAUGAUCAAAACAAUAGUCGUUUCACUAUUGCUAAAGGAAUUGCUAUUAUUCUUGGAGAACUUGACACCUUCUGUCAUUGCAAAAUGAUCCCAUUUUCAUGAAAACACUUAAACAGUGUAAACGUGUUUACUUCACAAUCUUUACACUUUACAGUGAUCUCAACUUGUCAGAAAAUAAGAUUAGGUUUUCCAUAGUCAUCUUACCGUCAGGUUUUUUGCCAGUCUCUCCACUAUAUACUAAAAUGUCUGGCAGGGAAACCUGACCGAGAUUGUAUAUGUCAAUAUGGCAUACUAGUAUAGAGAACAAGGAGGUACAUGUUAUUAUACCCACCUUGGUCAGUACAACUUUAGCUUUACAGUGAUUUAUGCUCGUCUUUCUUGGUGUAAGAACUGAGAU